UACCAAAAAAUAAGUGGCAACUCUAAUGGGAUUUUAGCAUACAUAAGGAAAUUUGAUAGCUGAAAAAUUCGUGUGGUUAUGUUCUCGCACAAUGCGUCGUUAAUUAAUUGAAAAUCAAAGCGGAUUUAUCUGCCACAGAUUAAGAAUCGAACGAAUAAAUAUGUAUUUAUUUAGGACGGAAAGACGGAAUAGAAAUUACCCAGGGGAUAAACGCCAACACCAUCAGUCAAUAUCGAGUCCACUUAAAUUUUCAAAGUUUCCCCUCUUGAUGCCAUUAUCAAGUGGGAAAUGGACGGAAAGAGUCAGGAACAAGUCGUUUCUGUCACAGGACUAUUGUGGCUGAAGAAAAGCGAUCCAUGAAUGAUUAGAUGAAAUCAGAACGGCUCCACGAACUUCUGAGUGAUUUAAAUGCUCUUGAGCUUAGCUAUGGACUGUUGGUAAAACCAGAAUAUUCUUAGCGAGUUAUCGAAGCACAAGAGUCUUACUAGCACGUUAUUAAAAGUUGUAAGGAAUGUAAGGAAAUAUUAAAUAAAAUUGAACCUGAUAAAGA